CAACGAGCCAAUCCAAACUAUGAAUCUGAACAAGAAGAAAUUACCAUAACAUUGUGUUCGUUAUCAGCUAAAUAUCGUCCAUCACCAAAUUUUCAGCAGCUUGGUCAAACAACUUUCUGGGUAACAACAACAAGAAUUGACUUAGGGUACGGAAGGUAAAGUGGAUCCACAGAGUUCAAUUUCUAUUCAAAUUCAAUUUCUAUUCAGAAGUUAGCCUAUAGAGAAACACUUGCAAGGAGGACGAAAGGCGAUGGAUAUGAGAAAUGCAGAGCGAUAAAGCGAGAAAAUGAGGAGGCAUGACGGCUGAAGAAAAAU